rnacentral:ncRNA from 1 species
UAUUGUUGAAAAUAGUGAAAAACUUUACUCAAAUGCCAUAGGCAAUGUUUCGGGCUACGCAGGCCCUUUGUCAAGGCUGACAAAGGGCCUGCGUAGCCAGAAACAUUGCCUAUGGCAUUUGAGUAAAGUUUUUCACUAUUUUCAACAAUACCGGAGUGCUGCUGCUUUAUUUGAUUUAUGCAUAUUUUG